AUGGAAAAGAGGGUGCUCGAUGACAUAGCAGAAAUCUGGGAAAGCAGACAAGAUUCAAAAGAGAGUGACAAAGUAAUAUUAGGCCCAAACUUUGUAGAGAUAUUCAUUCCAAUGGAGAAGCAUGACCGCUACGUACUAUAUGUGCUGGACAAAUAUAAACACAAAGUUCACAUUAUUGAUCCUCGAGAAGCGACUCCAGAGGAAUUUGAGAAAGAAAAGAUAGACAUGGAUAAAUUGGAUCCACAUGAAGCAUGUCGAGUUCUUCAGGAACAUGAAGACGCUCAAAAAGAAAGAAAAACACAGUUUCAGGAAUAUCACGCUCAUAAGUCGGCAAUCGUACCUAGGAUUAAAGAAGUCUUCAACACCAUACUUGAACAAACAAUGAAUCCAAAGAAAGCAAGAUGGCAGAUUCAUACCGUGCAAGAUGUUCCAGUGGUAGAAAAGGGCGAAUCACCAUUUGAUGUUUUAAAGCUUGCAUUCCUCUACAAUGGUGAAAAGUUUGUCGAAGACCUGGAAGAUUUGACAGAUGAGGUCGAAGACUGGAGGGCAGAGGCAAUGUACAUUCUCUUAAGUAGCGAGAUGAAUCAAGUCAAAGCUAGUGAAAUGGGUGACGAGAUUAGCAAGAUCUUUAGCAAGAAUGAAGACUAA
rnacentral:rRNA from 1 species